UACGGAGGGUGCAAGCAUUAAUCGGAAUUAUUGGGCGUAAAGGGCGCGUAGGCGGGAGUAUAAGUCAGAUGUGAAAUUCCGAGGCUCAACUUCGGAGCUGCAUUUGAAACUAUACACCUCGAGGAUUGGCGGAGAGAACGGAGUUCCACGUGUAGCGGUGAAAUGCGUAGAUAUGUGGAAGAACACCGGUGGCGAAAGCGGUUCUCUAGCUUAUUCCCGACGCUGAGGCGCGAGAGCAAGGGGAGCAAACAGG
rnacentral:rRNA from 1 species